GAUGAACGCUAGCUACAGGCUUAACACAUGCAAGUCGAGGGGAAACGGCAUUUAGUGCUUGCACUGAAUGGACGUCGACCGGCGCACGGAUGAGUAACGCGUAUCCAACCUACCCAUUACUGUGGGAUAACCUGCCGAAAGGCAGACUAAUACCGCAUGGUCUUCGAUGACGGCAUCAGAUUUGAAGUAAAGAUUUAUCGGUAAUGGAUGGGGAUGCGUCUGAUUAGCUUGUUGGCGGGGUAACGGCCCACCAAGGCAACGAUCAGUAGGGGUUCUGAGAGGAAGGUCCCCCACAUUGGAACUGAGACACGGUCCAAACUCCUACGGGAGGCAGCAGUGAGGAAUAUUGGUCAAUGGACGAGAGUCUGAACCAGCCAAGUAGCGUGCAGGAUGACGGCCCUAUGGGUUGUAAACUGCUUUUGUAUGGGGAUAAAGUCAAUCACGUGUGAUUGUUUGCAGGUACCAUACGAAUAAGGACCGGCUAAUUCCGUGCCAGCAGCCGCGGUAAUACGGAAGGUUCGGGCGUUAUCCGGAUUUAUUGGGUUUAAAGGGAGCGUAGGCCGGAGAUUAAGUGUGUUGUGAAAUGUAGACGCUCAACGUCUGACUUGCAGCGCAUACUGGUUUCCUUGAGUACGCACAACGUUGGCGGAAUUCGUCGUGUAGCGGUGAAAUGCUUAGAUAUGACGAAGAACUCCGAUUGCGAAGGCAGCUGACGGGAGCGCAACUGACGCUUAAGCUCGAAGGUGCGGGUAUCGAACAGG
rnacentral:rRNA from 1 species